rnacentral:rRNA from 1 species
CUCUACAGCCAUACCACCCUGAACACACCCGAUCUCAUCUGAUCUCAGAAGCUAAGUAGGGUCAGACCUGGUUAGUGCUUGGAUGGGAGGAGU